GCCCUAGUAACGGCGAGUGAGCGGCAACAGCUCAAAUUUGAAAGCUAGCCUUCGGGUUCGCAUUGUAAUUUGUAGAGGAUGAUUUGGGGAAGCCGCCUGUCUAAGUUCCUUGGAACAGGACGUCAUAGAGGGUGAGAAUCCCGUAUGUGACAGGAAAUGGCACCCUAUGUAAAUCUCCUUCGACGAGUCGAGUUGUUUGGGAAUGCAGCUCUAAAUGGGAGGUAAAUUUCUUCUAAAGCUAAAUAUUGGCGAGAGACCGAUAGCGCACAAGUAGAGUGAUCGAAAGAUGAAAAGCACUUUGGAAAGAGAGUUAAAAAGCACGUGAAAUUGUUGAAAGGGAAGCGCUUGCAAUCAGACUUGUUUAAACUGUUCGGCCGGUCUUCUGACCGGUUUACUCAGUUUGGACAGGCCAGCAUCAGUUUCGGCGGCCGGAUAAAGGCUCUGGGAAUGUGGCCUCCACUUCGGUGGAGGUGUUAUAGCCCAGGGUGUAAUACGGCCAGCCGGGACUGAGGUCCGCGCUUCGGCUAGGAUGCUGGCGUAAUGGUUGUAAGCGACCCGUCUUGAAACACGGACCAAGGAGUCUAAAAUCUAUGCGAGUGUUCGGGUGUCAAACCCCUGCGCGUAAUGAAAGUGAACGGAGGUGGGAACCCGCAUGGGUGCACCAUCGACCGAUCCUGAUGUCUUCGGAUGGAUUUGAGUAAGAGCAUAGCUGUUGGGACCCGAAAGAUGGUGAACUAUGCCUGAAUAGGGUGAAGCCAGAGGAAACUCUGGUGGAGGCUCGCAGCGGUUCUGACGUGCAAAUCGAUCGUCAAAUUUGGGUAUAGGGGCGAAAGACUAAUCGAACCAUCUAGUAGCUGGUUCCUGCCGAG
rnacentral:rRNA from 1 species